AGUACGGAAAGCUGCUUGUGAGUGAAGGCCAUGCACUGUCUCCUUAAUGGGCCCAGCUGAACAUCUUUUGUUCCCACUGAUGUCAUCAAAGCUGAAGACCCUCAGCAUCUACUAAAAUGUGUCACAGAAUGGACUCGAGUUGCUGGUGUGAAAUAUUUUCAUAUUUCUCAAUAGGGACGAUGCUAUGGCUUAGAUCUGAUCUUGUGAAACAGAGGAAGGCAUCAAACAGGCUGAUCACCUAUUCCCCAUUCAAAUAUUAGCGCUGUCAGUGUAGUUAGAGAACUUAAAUGCUUUCUCCUUUCUGCUCUAUAUUGCAAGCAACAAGAUCUUUGUUUUUUGCCUAAAACUCCAAGUGACCUUCCUUUCAGGAGACUGUCUGAAAAUCUACCAGAAAGGUUUUACAGUCCCAUCUGACCUAGGUUUAUCACUAUCCCUGCAUAUUCAAAAGGUGCUUUGUUUUACAGCAGCUACAAAAUAAGCACCUGGAUUUCAUAAAGUGACGUCUGUGGAAAUCCCCUAAUGUAAUGUCUAUGUAUUACAGAACAUUCUUGCAUGUCGCAGAGUUGUGAAUUUCACCUCUUCCAUGAAUUCUGCUUCUGCAUCUUACCUGAGUGGUAUUAGGCCUCAAAGGCUGUUGUUCAAGUGGGUUACAUCAUUUAGAAAGAUGCCAUUAGGGUAUCAUUAUUGUGACAAGAAGGAAUUACCAAGACUCUGAUAAACUACUUCCCAGGAUCUCCCCUUUGACUUUUCCAGUAAGGGUGAUGAUUUGAAUCUUUUCUUUUACUCCAUUAUAGUUCAAAAUCCAGCCUUAUCUGUUCAAGAAUGAAUUUUCCUUUUUAGCAGUGUUUUUUAAAAGAAGCUGUUAGUUUCUAACUUCACUCUUACAUGGUUGCAUGCAAACUUGAAAACAGAUUAAAAGUAAACAGAAAAAUCAAAAUAACUGAGAAAGAAAUCUUUUAAAAUCUAUUGAUAGAGAAACUGUUUUGAACUAUAAGUCUUCGGAUUUUUUUUCUCUGCAGGGUCCUUACAUCCUUGAAUGAAGAAAACCCACCAAGAUUUGCUUUUAUAUUAAUGUGUAGUCAAAACUUUCCUUAAUGUAAAUAUCAGAAUAAAUUAAUUCUGCACUAUGCUUUGACUCAAUGAGUCAGUGUUAAUCUGGAGACUGUGAUAGUGAUCUGCAGAUUUGUACAACAGUAUGGAAAAUAAAGAGCUAUAGGUAUAUACCUAUAUACAUAUAUAUAUAUAUUGUUUUUUCUUGGCUUCAUCUAUUCAGCUGAUUUCUUCUUCCUUCCAACUUUAAUUUGUUGCUCCAGAGGCUUUUCUUUUCUAAUGAAUUAAUUUUGUGAGACUGUGAGCAUGGUGUGGGUGGAGACCUCAUGCUGAGCUCCAGCAAGUGGCGCAGAAACUGGGAACUCCACACACGGAUGGUGAAAUCUGAAUCCGGCACCACCUGAGGAACCAGGAGCUUGCUUUGUGCUCGAUUCUCACUGAUGUCCAGAGGAUGGUGCUACUUGUCUUGUUAAGAAUUUCUUGUCUGAGUAAGAACAGCAAAAAAACUCUGUACUGUCGUGGCAUUGUCUCCUCAGUGUUGUCUUUUUGUCAAAAGCACCCUCAAUUCCAGAAAUGAAAAGUGAAUUACAGCAAAUAUUGACAUGUGUCUGUUCUGAUUUGUUAAAGAUUAGUUUUAGUGGGUUUGCUGGGAAAUUUGCAUUAGGAAUAAAAUUCAAAUGCCAUUGCAGUGGAAAUUUUAGUUCAAUGUAUUUUUCUCUUUCUUUCCCACAGGUCAGGAUCUUUAGGAGAAUGUGUUUCCUAUAAUACACUGCAUUCCUUCUUGUGGCAAGGGACAGUACCAUCUCAGGGUAGCCUGGUCCAGAUGCAUCUUGUCUUGACCACAGUGUGGUCUUGAAAGCUGCUACUUAUAGCGUAGAAUGGGGUGGUGUGAAAUUAGCUAAUAACACAUUAUAGGAGUUUCAGGGAAAAUAUGUUUUUCAAUGGAAAUACGUUUCUUUCACAAAACCUGCAUUUUAGUAAAAACUGAAAUUCUAACGGUUUUGACAACUUGUUUAGAUUCUCCUUCACAUUUGAUGCAAUCUGUGGAGUGAAGAAGUAAGCAAGACAGCUUUGUCAUCCCUCUGGAGUCUACUGGCAAGUGAUGUCAAGGAGAAAACUGGAAAAUGUCAUACUACAGAGAAGUCUAAAAGAUGAGUUGAUCAAAUGGAUGAGCUUUCUUCAUUGUGAAGGAACCUCUAAAGCAAGUGUUUUUGAGAGAUGUUUCUGCCUGAAGAGGAGCAAUGAAAAUCUUUGGAAGAGGACAGGCUGAUCGCUCAGGAGGAUGUGAACUGAAAAGGCAGAUAAAUUUUGAGUUUCAUAGCUGGUGCUGCUAUGCCCAUCAUGUGAACCUCUGGAGAUUUUGGAACACAGGUUAUCUGUGGCUUGAGUGAAUUAUAAAAGGGUGACAUUUGAAGUAGUUAUCAAUAUUGAUACAUGACCUCACAGCCUCCUUACUGUGAUUAAGGAGAGGCUAAUGAGUUCAUGUAUCCGUUUGACAAGUUGCUAUUGUUUCUUCCAGUGUAAAUCAUCCUGUUCUUUUAUUACCUCUGUUGGUUUUGUUUGGUCACUUAGCGUUGUUUUGUUCCCCAAGGCUUCAGUACUGGUAUAUGCAUUAUUUUCUGUCAGCAGCUGAUUUUGCCACUAAGAUGAUCACAAAACUGAAAGCCAUAACCCUUUGGGGAAGGGUCAGGAGUGGCAAGUCAGAUACAAUAUGUGCAUUUAAAAGCUACAGUAGGAUGUGACAAAACUUUCUGGGUUACAUCAGAAGAAACAAAGGUGGGAGGCUAGAAACUGGCAUUCCUCCCAUGCCAAGAGGCUAGCUAACAAGUCACAGGUGGUCAUAGCAGGAGCAUGGGAAGAACAUGAUUGUAAUGGAUUGUGGUGAUAGCUUGUGUGCACUUGCAUGUUUUGCCUGCUUGUUUUUCCCAGCAGUUCUUAAAAUAUUUUACAUAGCUUGCUGUUUUGUUCAGGUAGAGUGCAAACUGGGAAUUACCAGAGUGCAAUGUCCAUUUUGACUGCUUGACUGGGUUUUACCCUCCUGCUGUCCUUUUACUUUCAGCUUGGUCUAAUACCCUUAGGGGAUGUUGGCCUUGCUGCAGUAAUCCUUCCUCACUGCACAGACCUACUGAGGUGACUCAGGUGGGUAUUUGGUGAAGAUCAUUGACUCGAGAGUGCUCCCAUCAUAUUGCAAACACUCCAAACUACUGUCUUACUGCUGCUCAGGAGAGAAAAAAGUGUUUUUCAUGUGAGAAAUUACCUGGCAACUAAACCUCUUACUAGAGGGUGCUUGUUGCCCACUGGAGCUGGUCACCUGAGAAACAGGGCUGUGACUGUUGGGCAGAAGCUCUUCUAGUUGCUCUGUUGGGCAAGAGAGGAGGGAGAAAUCUUCAAAUCCACAUAUGGAUAUUCAGAAGCAUGAAAUGGAGGAAAGAAAUUUUUUCUUGAAUGCAAAUGGAUCCUCAAGGGCUUAACAGAGCAAAAGCCUCAAAAUACUUGUUCUGCCAAGGAAAGUACAAUAGCAUGUUCAAAAUCCCUGCACAAAGUCUCCUGGUUUGCUUACAUGGGAUGAGAAGUAACCUGUAUCCUGUAAUCUCGCUCAUAACACAGACCCAAUUUUGUCUUAAAAUGACUUGUUUGGUGUUUUUGGGUGUGGGGAAGGAGAACAUUGUCACUGUUACUCCUAUCAGUUCAGUGCUUCUGUAGAGAUUGCAUCCCCAGACUGGUGAGAAGGUAGAAGUGUGUUAAACUGCAGAGGAGCCUGAGGGGGAGAGGCAGUUGGCCCACAGGUCCCAGUGUGGAGGGAAGGUUUUUCAUCCAGAUGUGGUGAAUGAUGGGAGGAGGGAGAAGACUGUAUCCAUGGCACCAGCUCUCUGCAUUGGCUCUCAGUUUCCCACGCUCUGUACCCAAACCAUGGAUUGUCUAUGCCACAGAGGAAGAAUUUGCUUGGAUCUGGCAGGGCUACUUAACUGAGGUGCAGUGCUUCACCAAUCCAGAAAUGCUGUUUGUUUGUCUAACUCACCUUCCAACUUAUUACCAUGACUAAUAAAUCCUUCUGAACCUGAUUCAGGUCUCUGCAUCACAUUUCUGGAACAGGAAUGCAGCCAGGGCCAUUCUGCAUUUAAUGCUGAUUUUAUCUUCGUUUUAUCAUCGUUAGCUGUGCAGGAUCUGAGGUGAUUUCUCCUAGAA